UAGGGAAUAUUAGUAAUGGGCGAAAGCCUGAACUAGCAACGCCGCGUGUGCGAAGAAGGCCUUCGGGUUGUAAAGCACUUUUUGAGAGGAUGAGGAAGGACGGUACUCUCAGAAUAAGUCUCGGCUAACUACGUGCCAGCAGCCGCGGUAACACGUAGGAGGCGAACGUUAUCCGGAUUUACUGGGCGUAAAGCGCGUGUAGGUGGUUUGGUAAGUAGGGCGUGAAAGCUCCUGGCUCAACUGGGAGAGGCCGUUCUAAACUGCCGAACUAGAGGAUGGUAGAGCGAGGUGGAAUUCCGGGUGUAGCGGUGGAAUGCGCAGAUAUCCGGAGGAACACCAGUGGCGAAAGCGGCCUCCUGGACCAUUCCUGACACUCAGACGCGAAAGCUAGGG
rnacentral:rRNA from 1 species